rnacentral:rRNA from 1 species
GAUGAACGCUGGCGGCGUGCCUAAUACAUGCCAGUCGAGCGAACAGACGAGGAGCUUGCUCCUUUGACGUUAGCGGCGGACGGGUGAGUAACACGUAGGUAACCUACCUAUAAGACUGGGAUAACUUCGGGAAACCGGAGCUAAUACCGGAUAAUAUUUCGAACCGCAUGGUUCGAUAGUGAAAGAUGGCUUUGCUAUCACUUAUAGAUGGACCUGCGCCGUAUUAGCUAGUUGGUAAGGUAACGGCUUACCAAGGCAACGAUACGUAGCCGACCUGAGAGGGUGAUCGGCCACACUGGAACUGAGACACGGUCCAGACUCCUACGGGAGGCAGCAGUAGGGAAUCUUCCGCAAUGGGCGAAAGCCUGACGGAGCAACGCCGCGUGAGUGAUGAAGGUCUUCUGAUCGUAAAACUCUGUUAUUAGGGAAGAACAAACGUGUAAGUAACUGUGCACGUCUUGACGGUACCUAAUCAGAAAGCCACGGCUAACUACGUG